rnacentral:rRNA from 1 species
ACUCCUACGGGAGGCAGCAGUGGGGAAUAUUGCACAAUGGGCGAAAGCCUGAUGCAGCCAUGCCGCGUGUGUGAAGAAGGCUCUAGGGUUGUAAAGCACUUUCAGUAGGGAGGAAAGGGUGUACGUUAAUAGCGUGCAUCUGUGACGUUACCUACAGAAGAAGCACCGGCUAACUCCGUGCCAGCAGCCGCGGUAAUA